rnacentral:rRNA from 1 species
GAGGUUAAGCGACUAAGCGUACACGGUGGAUGCCCUGGCAGUCAGAGGCGAUGAAGGACGUGCUAAUCUGCGAUAAGCGUCGGUAAGGUGAUAUGAACCGUUAUAACCGACGAUUUCCGAAUGGGGAAACCCAGUGUGUUUCGACACACUAUCGUUAAGUGAAUACAUAGCUUAACGAAGCGAACCGGGGGAACUGAAACAUCUAAGUACCCCGAGGAAAAGAAAUCAACCGAGAUUCCCCCAGUAGCGGCGAGCGAACGGGGAGGAGCCCAGAGUCUGAAUCAGUUUGUGUGUUAGUGGAAGCGUCUGGAAAGUCGCAGGGUACAGGGUGAUACUCCCGUACACAAAAACGCACAGGCUGUGAACUCGAAGAGUAGGGCGGGACACGUGGUAUCCUGUCUGAAUAUGGGGGGACCAUCCUCCAAGGCUAAAUACUCCUGACUGACCGAUAGUGAACCAGUACCGUGAGGGAAAGGCGAAAAGAACCCCGGCGAGGGGAGUGAAACAGAACCUGAAACCGUGUACGUACAAGCAGUAGGAGCCCACUUGUUGGGUGACUGCGUACCUUUUGUAUAAUGGGUCAGCGACUUAUAUUCUGUAGCAAGGUUAACCGUAUAGGGGAGCCGCAGGGAAACCGAGUCUUAACUGGGCGUUAAGUUGCAGGGUAUAGACCCGAAACCCGGUGAUCUAGCCAUGGGCAGGUUGAAGGUUGGGUAACACUAACUGGAGGACCGAACCGACUAAUGUUGAAAAAUUAGCGGAUGACUUGUGGCUGGGGGUGAAAGGCCAAUCAAACCGGGAGAUAGCUGGUUCUCCCCGAAAGCUAUUUAGGUAGCGCCUCGUGAACUCAUCUUCGGGGGUAGAGCACUGUUUCGGCUAGGGGGUCAUCCCGACUUACCAACCCGAUGCAAACUACGAAUACCGAAGAAUGUUAUCACGGGAGACACACGGCGGGUGCUAACGUCCGUCGUGAAGAGGGAAACAACCCAGACCGCCAGCUAAGGUCCCAAAGUCAUGGUUAAGUGGGAAACGAUGUGGGAAGGCACAGACAGCCAGGAUGUUGGCUUAGAAGCAGCCAUCAUUUAAAGAAAGCGUAAUAGCUCACUGGUCGAGUCGGCCUGCGCGGAAGAUGUAACGGGGCUAAACCAUGCACCGAAGCUGCGGCAGCGACGCUUAUGCGUUGUUGGGUAGGGGAGCGUUCUGUAAGCCGUUGAAGGUGGCCUGUGAGGGUUGCUGGAGGUAUCAGAAGUGCGAAUGCUGACAUAAGUAACGAUAAAGCGGGUGAAAAGCCCGCUCGCCGGAAGACCAAGGGUUCCUGUCCAACGUUAAUCGGGGCAGGGUGAGUCGACCCCUAAGGCGAGGCCGAAAGGCGUAGUCGAUGGGAAACAGGUUAAUAUUCCUGUACUCGGUGUUACUGCGAAGGGGGGACGGAGAAGGCUAUGUUAGCCGGGCGACGGUUGUCCCGGUUUAAGCAUGUAGGCGGAACGAUUAGGUAAAUCCGGUCGUUUAUUAACGCUGAGGUGUGAUGACGAGGCACUACGGUGCUGAAGUAACAAAUGCCCUGCUUCCAGGAAAAGCCUCUAAGCAUCAGGUAACAUCAAAUCGUACCCCAAACCGACACAGGUGGUCAGGUAGAGAAUACCAAGGCGCUUGAGAGAACUCGGGUGAAGGAACUAGGCAAAAUGGUGCCGUAACUUCGGGAGAAGGCACGCUGAUGGUA